rnacentral:lncRNA from 1 species
CGCCUGUUACAAGUCACCAAGACCCGGACCACACCAUACCAUCCAGCUUCAAAUGGGCAAGUGGAAAGAUUCAAUAGAACGUUAUUGCAGAUGAUACGGUGUUACGUGGAUCAAAGUCAACGGAAUUGGGAUGAACAUCUUCCCCUACUCACUGCGGCGUACAGGAGCACUGUGCAUUCAGCAACAGGUUUCACACCAAAUCAGCUGAUGCUGGGCCGAGAAGUUUUCCAACCACAUGACAUCUGGCUAAGGACAGCUGAAGUUACCAGGGAAGCUAGAGAAACACCUGAGUUUGUUCAUGAACUGCAAGCUAACCUGCAGCUUGCUCAUCAAGUAGCGCGUCAGAACUUACACUCUGCUCAGAUUCGCCAGAAGAAGGUCUAUGACUUACGAGCCAGAGAGAAGUCCUACCAAGCGGGUGAUCUUGUUUUAGUGAGGGUCAGUAGCAGGAAAAAGGGGUACAGUCCAAAACUUCAAGCUCCACGGCAGGGGCCAUUCGUUGUCGCAGAAUGCCUUGGACCAGUGCUCUACCGUGUCAAAGACAGACGAAGUGAGAAAGUACUGCAUCAUGAUCGUUUACAACCCUAUCAAAGUGAUCACAUCCCUACCUGGAUGCAGCGGCUGCGACGGAAAUACACUGGCACUGAGGAAGUCUCAUUGGUUCCAAAAACUGACCAGGAACCUGUAGUCGCUGCAGCAGAAGCGUCAAAUCCGUCACCCUCCGACAACUCUUUCUCAAAAGAGCCUCAGACCCUUCUCACAAAGCUUGCUCAUCAAGUAGCGCGUCAGAACUUACACUCUGCUCAGAUUCGCCAGAAGAAGGUCUAUGACUUACGAGCCAGAGAGAAGUCCUACCAAGUGGGUGAUCUUCUUUUAGUGAGGGUCAGUAGCAGGAAAAAGGGGUACAGUCCAAAACUUCAAGCUCUAUGGCAGGGGCCAUUCGUUGUCGCAGAAUGCCUUGGACCAGUGCUCUACCGUGUCAAAGACAGACGAAGUGAGAAAGUACUGCAUCAUGAUCGUUUACAACCCUAUCAAAGUGAUCACAUCCCUACCUGGAUGCAGCGGCUGCGACGGAAAUACACU